UACGUAGGGUGCGAGCGUUAUUCGGAAUUAUUGGGCGUAAAGCGUGCGCAGGCGGUGAUGUAAGUCCGAUGUGAAAUCCCCGGGCUUAACCUGGGAACUGCAUUGGUGACUGCAUGGCUCGAGUAUGGCAGAGGGGGGUAGAAUUCCACGUGUAGCGGUGAAAUGCGUAGAGAUGAGGAGGAACACCGAUGGCGAAGGCAGCCCCCUGGGUCAAUACUGACGCUCAGGCACGAAAGCGUGGGGAGCAAACAGG
rnacentral:rRNA from 1 species